rnacentral:rRNA from 1 species
GUAGGUGGCAAGCGUUGUCCGGAAUUAUUGGGCGUAAAGCGCGCGCAGGAGGUUCUUUAAGUCUGAUGUGAAAGCCCCCGGCUCAACCGGGGAGGGUCAUUGGAAACUGGGGAACUUGAGUGCAGGAGAGGAAAGUGGAAUUCCACGUGUAGCGGUGAAAUGCGUAGAUAUGUGGAGGAACACCAGUGGCGAAGGCGACUUUCUGGCCUGUAACUGACACUGAGGCGCGAAAGCGUGGGGAGCAAACAGGGAUUAGAUACCCUGGUAGUCCACGCCGUAAACGAUGAGUGCUAAGUGUUGGAGGGUUUCCGCCCCCUCAGUGCUGCAGCUAACGCAUUAAGCACUCCGCCUGGGAGUACGGUCGCAAGACUG